rnacentral:lncRNA from 1 species
AUGCAUGAAGCUGCUAUGGCUGCUGUUGAAGAGAAACUAACGUCACUUGCGAGUUGGGGUUCAUCUCCAUGCAUAAUCAAACAAACUCACUUUGAGCAAGCACUGACUAAAAUCACACCCUCUCUAAGCGACAAGGUAUAUGUAUAUAUAUAUAUAUAUGGAUCAAUUUUGUCAUUGUUUUAUAUGUAUAUCCUUGAAGAAAUAAUUCUUUCUUAUUUUAAUUCUUAUUUGGCCCUAAGACCAAGACUUGAAACUCUUUAAGAUUCCGUUUUCCAUUGCUUCUCUGGUGCAGGAUUUGCAAGACUCUGAGAAUUUCCGAAAGCAGCAGGGCAAAUGGACUUCAAAAAGGAAAGCAAGAAAAGGAGAACAUGUUUGUCAAGAAUGUCCUUACCGAUUUUUCUUUUAUUUUUAUUUAACUAGCUUUAUUUUAAGGUUUUUAUUUUUUUAA